CAGCCGCCGCGGGAAUACGUAGGGUGCAAGCGUUAAUCGGAAUUACUGGGCGUAAAGCGUGCGCAGGCGGUUUGUUAAGACAGAUGUGAAAUCCCCGGGCUCAACCUGGGAACUGCAUUUGUGACUGGCAAGCUAGAGUGUGGCAGAGGGGGGUGGAAUUCCGCGUGUAGCAGUGAAAUGCGUAGAUAUGCGGAGGAACACCGAUGGCGAAGGCAGCCCCCUGGACCAUUUCUGACGCUGAUGCACGAAAGCUAGGGGAGCAAACAGGAUUAGAUACCCGGGUAGUCCCUGUCUCUUAUAC
rnacentral:rRNA from 1 species